UACGUAGGUGGCAAGCGUUGUCCGGAAUUAUUGGGCGUAAAGCGCGCGCAGGCGGUCUCUUAAGUCUGAUGUGAAAGCCCCCGGCUCAACCGGGGAGGGUCAUUGGAAACUGGGAGACUUGAGGACAGAAGAGGAGAGUGGAAUUCCAAGUGUAGCGGUGAAAUGCGUAGAGAUGUGGAGGAACACCAGUGGCGAAGGCGGCUCUCUGGUCUGUUACUGACGCUGAGGCGCGAAAGCGUGGGGAGCAAACAGG
rnacentral:rRNA from 1 species